rnacentral:rRNA from 1 species
CCGUAGGUGAACCUGCGGAGGGAUCAUUACUGAGUUUACAACUCCCAAACCCCUGUGAACAUACCAUUUGUUGCCUCGGCGGUGCCUGCUUCGGCAGCCCGCCAGAGGACCCAAACCCUUGAUUUUAUACAGUAUCUUCUGAGUAAAUGAUUAAAUAAAUCAAAACUUUCAACAACGGAUCUCUUGGUUCUGGCAUCGAUGAAGAACGCAGCGAAAUGCGAUAAGCAAUGUGAAUUGCAGAAUUCAGUGAAUCAUCGAAUCUUUGAACGCACAUUGCGCCCGCCAGUAUUCUGGCGGGCAUGCCUGUUCGAGCGUCAUUUCAACCCUCAAGCCCCCGGGCUUGGUGUUGGAGAUCGGCGUGCCCCCCGGGGCGCGCCGGCUCCCAAAUAUAGUGGCGGUCUCGCUGUAGCUUCCUCUGCGUAGUAGCACACCUCGCACUGGAAAACAGCGUGGCCACGCCGUUAAACCCCCCACUUCUGAAAGGUUGACCUCGGAUCAGGUAGGAAUACCCGCUGAACUUAAGCAUAUCAAUAAGCGGAGG